rfam:Gossypium hirsutum cultivar TM-1 chromosome 9, whole genome shotgun sequence
UGUUAAAAAUUUCAUUCAUUUUUACUGUUAAAAGUUGGUGACUGAUAAAAUAACCAGAAAGUUAUAUGUGUACCUUAUUCUAAUGUACAAAAACUAUUUAACAAUAAAAAUAGAUGAAAUGUUUAAUA